GCUCUUGUGAUCUGUGUAAAUAGUACAACAGACCCCAUAGAGGUAAUGCCUCCAAAUAUUAAGAGCGAAAACCACGGUCCCCAACUCCAAAUCACGUGUCAGAUAAUUUACAUCAUGAGGCUUCAUCUAUCUCGAAGCAUAAGCGAUCAUGCGACCCCUCUACAUCAACACUACCCCAAGUUCUAUGAUCGAAGCAUCAUAGUAAACCAUGAAAUCAUCAUCACCCUCUAAUAGGGUCAGAAUCAACGCCUCACACAACCGCUGCCUCAAAGUCUCGAAAGUUGACUGCUGCUUAGGCCCCCAGCAAAAAGUAACUGUCUUCUUGGUCAAUCGGGUCAAAGAAACAACUAUCAUGGAGAAAUCCUUAAUGAAUCUCCGAUAGUAACCUGCUAAACCAAGAAAACUCUAAAUCUCAGAUGGAGACCUCAGAACCUUCCACUACAUCAUGUCCUCAACCUUGUCCAGAUCAACCCAAAUACCAUUCUCGUUUACAAGGUGCCCCAGAAACUGUACCUCAUGUAACUAGAACUCACACUUGGAGAACUUUGCGAAAAAGUCUAUCCCAUCUUAAUGUCUCUAGCACUUCCCUCAAGUGCUCCUCGUAUUGCUCCUGAGUCUUGGAAUAAACCAAGAUAUUAUCAAUAAAUACAAUCACAUACCGAUCCAACAUCGGCCUGCACACGUGAUUCAGAAGAUCCAUGAACGCGGCUGGAGCAUUGGUGAGCCCGAAAGGCAUCACUAAGAACUUGUAAUGACCAUAACGAGUCCGGAAGACCUUCUUCUGCACAUCCUCAUCCCUGAAUCGCAUCUGAUGAUAACCCGAUCGCAAAUCAAUCUUGGAGAACCAAGAUGCACCUUGAAGCUGGUAAAAAAGAUCGUCAAUCCUCGGGAGUGGAUAGCGGUUCUUUAUGGUUACCUUAUUCAGCUUCCGGUAGUCGAUGCACAUAUGGUGAGACCCAUCCUUCUUCUUCACAAACAAAAUCGGUUCUCCCUAACUGCUUAGUCUAAUAAAUUCCUUGUCUAAUAGCUCCCGUAGUUGUGUAGACAACUCCUGCAUCUCGGGAGGAGCCAACCGAUACGGUGCCUUGGCUAUCGGAGCCGCACAUAGAACCAGAUCAAUCAUGAACUCCAUCUACCUCUCCAGAGGCACCCCAGGAAAAUCCUCCGGGAACACAUCUGGGCAAUCCUGCUGUGACAACCCGUAAUUUAUACCGUCACUGUAACCCGUUUCCGUUAAUAAAGCCGUUACGUUCCAAUUUUUCCGUUGACUUUGUUUUAAAUUAAUUUAAUUGCGACUUCUAUUUAGGUUUCAUAAGUUUCGGGAUACAUUUUAAACAUUAAAAUAUUUUCUAUAUUCGUUUGGAAAAUAUUUAGUUUCAUCUAAGUCAUGAUUACGGUAACUUAAUCGGGUAUGACCAAAAGCCCCGUUUAACGUCAGUAUCGGGUAGAUUUCCACCGGGCCAUAAACUCAACCCCCUAUAUAAGGGAUUAAGUGACAUCAUUUUGAAGCUUUUUCUCUCUCUUAAAACAUUUUCUCUCACUACUCUCUCUCUAGAACUCACGAUUGAUCCAAAACCCCCCUUUCAAGCCUCAAUUUGGUAAGCAAUCUAUCCUAACUUGUUGUCUAACUUGAUUGGUAUGAAAAUUCAUGUUUGAAUCAUCCAAAACACUCAUGAACAAGUGUUUAUGGUUUGGGAAUCCUCCCAAAACCGUGAACUCCUCUAAAGAGGGCUUUGAAGCCCCAAAACCCCUCCAAAUCACUUCUAGUGCUUAGUUAAGACCUUUGGAUUUGCAGGAAUGGACUUAGAACACCAAAAUCAUACCAUUUGAUGUAUGGACAUGAUUUUACGGCCCAAGAACAUGCUUGGACCGUAAACCCUCAUUCAUGUACCAUAAACACCUUUUUAAGGUGUUAAAUUGCCCUUAAACACCUCCAAAAGCAUCCAUGAACUUCCAUGAGUGCAUAUAACCUUAAAAUCCUUCAAGAAAUGCACCAAAACAUACACAAAUGGGACAAACUUGAGUUUACGAUCCAAGAACAUUCUUGGACCGUAAACACCUCUUCCUAUACCUUAAACUCCUCCAAUGGGUGUUAAAGUGCCCUUAACACCUUGUAUGGCUUAGAAAUGGGUCUAGAACUUAGCAUGCUUAACUUUCAACCACUAAAUCACAGGAAUCAUGGAGAAAAUGAGUUUACUGCCGUAAACUCAUGUGUUUAAGGUAGUAAACUCACCAAGAACAUCUUCAUAGACCGUAAACUCCUUUUCCAAGGUCAAUUCAAGUCCCAAUCACUUCCUAAGCCAUGGAAUCAACCCUAGAACCUUCCCAUGUGCAUUGUAAUUGACCUAGGACCACCAAAACACAUUAAAACAUAGCACACAAGAGUUUACGGCUGUAAACUCAUAGUUUACUGCCGUAAACUCCUCAAAUGGUCCUUAGGAUGUUCAAAUCUCAUUCAAAAGCCUUGAAACCAAGUCUAGCAUCAACCCGCAAGUGUUAUAUGGCCAUUUAGCAACCAAGAACACCCCCACCAUGAGUUUACAGCCGUAAACUCAUGGGGAGUUGGCCAUUUUGACCGUAAACUCCUAAAGGAGUUUACUCUUGAAGAGUAAACUCCAUAUCCAAGCCAUACACGUCCCUGGAUGCUACCCGGGUCACUCCAAACACUUGAAUUGAAGUGUUUUCGCGUCUAGAAGUGUUUACUCCUAUCUAAUUAGUGGUUCAAAGUAUAAUUAGAUACAAUUAUGUAUCAUUUCAUAUUACAUAGGAACCUCGUGCGUUAUCAAGCCCCGAACUGAUACUUAGCAUCCAAACCGACUCGUUUCCCGACUGGUGAGUUCAUACCCCUACGCCUUUUUCCGUGUUUUCAAUGUUUUCAGGGGGGGGGAAUACAAUCAAAAUAUAAAUGUUUUCGAAACUUAAAACUGAUGAAAUUCUAUAAAUAUCUAGCAAACUUUUAGAUAUCUUUACCCCUUAUGUAUUAUGCGGAGCAUAAGGGAUGUUUUAUCGAAUAUAGUCACGUGGAUUUCAAAUACAGUAAAGGAAACAAUCAAACCAAUCAAAUUAUUAUGGGAAUAAUUUGGGAUCUUUAGUUCUUGUUUUAUGGACACAGAUUUCAUGCAAAGUUAAUAGAUAAACUAUGUCUGAUUCAGUUUAUCUCUAUUUAAUUUAUAAUAUCAUGCCAAAUAAUUUCAUUGUAUUAAACUGUUUUACUGUAUGAUGUCUGACAACCACUGAGUAUACCGUGAAUAAUUUAAUACUAGCUUGUGAGAUGUAUCUUCAUUAAACCCUUCGGGUUAUCAGUAAAUCCUCCCCGAAAGUGUAACCAGAGUCUCCUGGAGGGAGAGCGUGGAAUUUGUGAAUAGAUCUAUUCAGGACUGACAAUCCCACACCUAAACUGCUAGCUACAGUUAGGCGGGCACGCCUGGGGUGACAAAUUCUGGAUAUCGUCCGAUGCCUGAAGAACGUUAAGGAGGUCUCGUGGUCAUAUUAGCAUGGUUACCCGACUCACAAUAAGUAUUAAUAUCAAAAUAUAAGUUUAUUCACGGAAUCUAUGUCUUCUCGUAAUCUAUGGUUUUACUUGAUGGUAUUCCCAGUGGUUUUAAAUCUAUAGUUUUGUAUAUUAAAACUACCUACUGUUGUCCUGGAUGGUAUUCCCAGGGAUCUUUCAAUCUUUAGUUUUAUGUAUUAAACUAUCUACUGUUGUAUCGAACAGAAAUUUAGAACUUUAACUAAAUUGUCUUUAUAAGAAAAUAUGAGAUUUUCUUGGAUAUCAACUUUUCAGAAAACCAAAGGAAACAUGAUCGUUUUACAUAAACAAAUAGCUUAUGAACUCACUAGCUUUAUGCUGAUUUUCAAACUGCUUGUAUUCUCAGGUCCACAUUAGAUAGGUACCCUCAAUCUUUUGGAGAAGAUGGAGCGUAUUAGAAGACACGUCUUACUUUUGUUCAAACUUUUGUAUAGAUAAACAUGUAUUACUUUACUUUUAAACAAAUGUAAUUAAUCAUAUGUAAUGUAAUGUUUUGUGUUUACUAUGCUUACUAUGUACAUUGGUUGUGAUACUUACAUGACGUCCUCCGCCCCGGAACGUUUCCGCCAUCGGUUUCGGGGUGUGACACCUGCAAAAUCGACACAUCAUCCACAAUCACCUUACCCUUAUCUUGGGUAUCCAUAACAUAGGUGACGUAAUCGGAACAACCGCGCUGAAAAUAGUGUCUGGCCCUCGCCGCUGAACACAAAAUCGGCCCUCGCUGAGAUCUCUCCCCAUGAACCACUAUCUUUCCCCCACUUGGGGUCCAAACCUAUAUCAAUUGUUUCACACAGUCGAUCACUGGCCCAUUAGGGCUCAAUUAAUCCACACCUACAAUAACCUUGUUCCCACACAAAGGAAUGGGAACCAAAUCUACCGCAUACUACUCGCAGAAUAAUUGAAGAGUACAACCCCGAUGAACCCUUGCAACCCGAAUACACCUAUCAGCCGCAAUCUUAACAUCAAGAGGGUAAUCCAACUCCUUUAGAGCUCCAGCAAAUCUCUUGCUAAGCGCAAGCGACACAAAGGAUCGGGUAGCCCCCGAAUCAAACAAUACCAGUGUAGAAAUACCAUUCACAAGGAACAAUCCUAAAAUAAAACACAUAAACAUAAGCAUGCAAUUCAGUAUAAAUAAAGAGAUAAGGAGAAGAUACACACCCAUCACCAUAUCGGGAGUUGAACGCGCCUCCUCGACCGUCAACUGUAAAGCCCUGCUCUUCACCAUAGGCGUGUCUGCUCGGACCUAGAGGUCAUUCGUAAUCCUCAUAGUCGCAGGAGCAGGUGCUGAUACCAGUCCUGAUAUAGCCAAACUCGAACAAUGGGCCUUCUUGUGGCCCCUCUGAUUGCAUUGAAAGCAAAUUGGAUCCGAUCCCUGAGUGGUGGUAGCAGUACAAUCCCUACUAUAAUGACCCGUCCGACCACACUUGAAUCAGCCAGAACCACCAACCCUGCACUGUCCCUCAUGCGUCUUGCUGCACUUGGCACAACGGCUCCGACCCCGGUGGCCUCUCGAUCUAGACUCAGAUACCUUGGGCCUCUUGCCCAAACCCUCAACACUCGGCAUAGAAUUUGGCUUCCUCUUCUUCUCCAUCUCCAAAUCAAUCUACCUCUCCCUAGCUUGCGCUAUCAUGUCCUCCGGCAUCUUGCAGCUAGAUCGGCCCACGAACUACCAAAUGUCACUAUGUCCUUCUUCAUCUCCUCAUCUGCCACAUAGUGCAAAACCAGAAGUGCCAUCUCCUUGAACCUAUCGGUGAUCUCGACCACCGUAUUAGUAGUCUGAUGGAGAUCUUGAAACUCUCGCACCAACUGCUGCAACUCAAUCACCGGUUCAAACUCAGCUCGGAACCUGGUCGAGAAACCAUCCCAUGAAAUCACCUCAACAACAUCAUCACCCACUGCACAUCCCACCUCCUCCCACCGGUCUCUUGCCAUGUCUUUCAAGAGGUAGGAAGCUAGUCUGAUCUUUGCCUCAUCGAGGCAACGACUGGUGCGGAAAGCAUUAGCAACGUCUGCUAACCACUGCCUACUUGCUAUGGGGUCCUUCUCCCAAUGAUAGUCAAGGGCUCCACAUGACCGGAACUCAUUGAUGGACAAGGAGCAUACACCCAUCAAAGCAUCAGAAUACACAUCCAAAAAUAUAUCGAGGGAUCAUAAACUCCACAAGCUUCCUGAUUUCAUUGCAUAUGUCCUUGAAUCGAGUAAGGAUCCUCUACUUCUAGUAGUACGGGCCCAUACUACCUUCCACAUCGAUCCGUACUUUCCUCAAGAAUUGCCUUGACUCAACCCAUUCACUUUAAAUCCAUAAAACUUCCCCUCACAUAUAAGGCUCCCAACACUAGAUCUUAUCCUAGGUUUUUCUAGGAUAAAAUCCAUACCACUCUCUGCCAUCAGCUGCAGAAGGAAUUCCCAUUAACUCCCUCUAACUAGUACAUGCAUAUAAUUACAUACCACUGAAACCAUACGAUUCUUUAAAUGAGAGGUCUCACAUUACAACGAUUAGACUUAAACAAGAGUUACACAAUAGAGUUAGAACAUAACCUUCUAAAAUUAUUUAGUUCCCAUAGCAUGUAAUUUUAGUAUAUUCGUCUACUAGUUAGCUGAAGUUAGUAAGAACUCCUAAAAUUAAAAAGCAAGCAGCAUUCGAUCAUCAAGUAACCAGAACCAAGCAUCACUUAAUAACGCCACCCUAUGACUGACUAAUCAGUACUAGCAUGCAAGUCUACAAGCUCACACAAGAGGCAUACAAAGGCAUCUCUCCUAGAAUUCUAUCAUGCAAAAACUUAGCAGAUCCUUAGCCUUAACUAGCAUGUGAUUUACAGAUUCACAGAUCAAACCAUAUCAGGUUGCAUGUAUGGGUAAUUUGGGAAAACUUACUUGAGCUUGGUCGGUUGCAUGCACUAUACCCUUUUUCUUUUAUUAGAAACCCUUUUAUAAAACUUUUUCUUUUUGAAAAAUCUACCAAACCCUCAGCUUGAGUUCAGACACACCCGAGAGUGCGUCUGAAUCCCUUAAACUAAGGCUCUGAUACCAACUUGCAACAUCCCAAAAAUACGUCCCAAAAUUUUCAUUUUUCAUUUAAUAAAAACAAUAUUCACAAACAUCAUCAAUACAUUCCAAAUAAAAUAAGUGUGUCCACAUCAUCUCAAAUUAGAGUAUAUCACAAAAGCAGCAACACAUGGUGGGUGCAACGUAGUCAUCCCAAGCUCUUCUCCUUGGAACCAGAAGUACCUAAAACAUAAACUGAAAACCGUGCUUAGUGAGUUCCCCAAACUACCCCAUACCAUACAUAAUAAACCACACACUGGGCCCGUGCUUGAUAUCGAGUCCUACUCUCAGGCCCUGCCCGACAUCGAGCCCUCUCGGUAUAUAGAUAUGUUAAUCUUAGGCCUCGCCUGACAUCGGUCCCUACCCCUCAUACAUAUAGGAAUAUGCCACAUAAUCAUGCUAACACUUGCAAAUACCAUAAUAUAAUAACAUAGGAUACAGUCAUCGGGCCUCGCCCGACAUCAGGCCCCGCCCGAUAUACAUAGUAGCACAUAACACAUGUAAGGGUCAUGUAGAUUCCUAGCAUCCUAACAUAAAUACAAGGGCUGACAUUGGUGCCUUAGACCCACUAAACCCACUGAGGAAACUCACCUCAAUUGACAAGCAAAAGAUCUUACACUUGUUGCUGCUGCGAACCGAUAAAUCCCCAAACUAUCAAUACCAAAUAACAUUCAACUAAUAAUUGGAUUCUAAUCCAUAACUAUUAGUCCAUUAUUAGGAUAAAGAGACCAUUUUAACCUUUACCUAGUUUGGUCCAAGACGAAGACCCAAAUUUUCAAUCUAACCGGCCCAAAAACCAAAUAACCAUCCAAGGCCCACAUAUGGCCCAAUUUUCUAAAUUGCGCCCAAAUCCUUACAUAGGAUUAACCUUAAGGCCCACUAAUUUUUCCGAGUCCAAACUCUUGCAUUCAGAUGGCCCAACAUGGCCCCAAGCGACUAAGCCCAAAGGAUAACCCAACCCGAAGCCUAAACAUGUGAAGUCCAUCAGACUGAGUAUGCGGGGUCUACUUAGCAUGUACGUGCAACGUACUCGUUUGAAGGCUUGUACGAUAAGCAUACAUGCUUGUACGCCUAGCAUACUCACCCAUUCAACCAAAACUUGAUUUCAAUACAUAGCUCCAAAACCUAGAUCUGACUUCCUUGAGUUGGAUUAACACGUAGAGUUACUAACUUUACGUUCAUGCAUGACUAAAUGAAGCUCUUAAGCUAAUAAGAAACUUAAUAUAUGACUUAAUGCAUGCAUGAGACCUAAUACCCCAUAAAGUUGGCACCUUUAUGCUUAGAAAGCCCUAAUAAGCUUAAAUCUAGAGGAAUAAUCCAUUUAAACGUCCAAAACCAUCAAUCAACUCAAAAGGGAGCAAAAGUGUGAAAAAUCAAACCAUAAAGAAAUCUAAGUAUUCAUAAAUCAAGGUAUGAAUUAGAUACCUCAAAGAGAUUGCAACAAAUAUGAUGAUUCUGGAUCUAUGACCUUCCUUGCAAGCAAAGCACCUUCAAUCUUCAAAGCUUCCUUCACAAAGAGUAAAACAACCAAUAAAAUCCUCUUAGGGGCUCAAGACCACCACCAAGAAGCUUAGGGGGCGCUUUAUGGUUUUAAGAGGCUUAGGGGCUGGUAAAGAGGCCAGCCCUAAGGUUUUUAGGUGUUUAUAUAGGGUGCAAUCACCCUAAAUUAGGGUUUCAAUAUGUCUCAUGUACGUCCUGCGUACAUAAUUGUAUGCCCAGCACACGUAUCUGCGUCCCGUUCCCACCUCACAUCAGUACGCUAAACUUACCAUGUGGUAUGCCCUGCGUACUCGCUUCACAACUUGUACGCCAAGAGUAGCAUGUGGUACGCUCCACGUACUGCCCAAGGACCAAAAGUGAAACUUUUAUAAUAGCAAGGGCAAUAAUGAACAUUCCAAUAUUUAAGUGUUACAGGAAACAUCGGCUUGGUAUAUAUCCCUCAUAAAUUCUACAGUACACUACCCAGUAGAAAAUAUAAGUCCAUAUAUCACCAUCAUGAUCUCCCAAGUUGUACUUGAUACGAUCUGCCCAUGAAGAGUAUUCACUUGGUAUAAGGAUAGGUGCAUGAUUUCUUGUGCCAUGACUGUGUGCAACUGAAACUGAAUAGAGAACAUUUUGGUUUUGAUUCACACUUGCCAUUGAGAACAAGUGAUACUAGUUUAAAACUUGAAAAAAAAUAUUUUUGUGAAAAUUUUUCUAAUUCUCAAAUUCGAUCACACGAGCUCUGAUACUAACCAAAAAAAUGUGAAAAUCAGUAAACCUUAGACUUGAAGAGUCUAAGUGUUGAAAAGACUGAAACAGAGUUUCAGAAUCGUCAAGUGGCAAGUAAUGCGGAAAAUAAAGAGUUGUGAAUCAACCAAGUCUAUGAUAAAAACAUUUUUGUAUGUUCAAGAUCAAUGAUUAAAAAGUGUCUUAUAUUCAUAAAGAUUUAGUUACUAGUGUUUGAAAUUGUAAACACACUAAAACACUCAAAUGAUUUUUACUCGAUUCUUAAUAAACAUUGCUUAAACCAUCCUUAAUAAACAUUUCCAUCACCUUCAUUUAUAUUAUUAACAAAAACUAUAUAUCUUUUACUCCGUUUCCAAUGUGAGAUAGAUAUAGACAAACUUGUAAAUCAAUUAACUAGGAAAUGUUUAUUAUGGAUGGUUUAAGCAAUGAUCCUAAAAAUUUGAUCAUCAAUUUUAGUUUGACACUAUAAGGUAGGUUCUAAAUUUCUUCUUAAUAUUAUUCCUAUAUAAUUUAUUAUAAGAUUUAAAAAAUAAGAUAAUUUAUAGGACCCACCUAGUUUAUAAGUAAACUCUUCAUUACAUGUUUUUUUUAAAAGAGCAAAAUGAAUUCCGUUGCCAGGACUUGAACCCGGGAACUCUUCAUUACAUGUUCUUUUGCGUUGCAAUAUAUAAUGAUUGCAUCAUACAUGCUCAUAUACUUCAUGUGGGUGUGUUUGACUCAUUGACUACACGUGUCGUUCUUUCAAAAACAUAUAUAUCAUCAAUCUCAACUGUAACCGUCCAACAAAUCUUAUAUCACAUUCUUCAUCGGUUACUUAUUGUCAUUAAACGAAAAGUAGGACCACUUCUACUCUAUAUAUAUUUGAUCCCUAAACUAGAAAAGAUUCACCACAACACCAAAUCAGCUCCACCGGAGUGAUUUCGACAUAGAAGAUAGCCAACCGGUUUCAGAAACCCUAAAACUACAAACUAUGGGUAUCAAUGUGCAAGGUCUCAAAACUUAUGUGUAUGACCUGAAGUACAUUAGAAACCCGAGGGUACCAGAGUGCACUAAAUUACCAACCCUCCCCUCGCCAAAAACACCUGUUGAGUUGACCAGAGCACGCAUUCAACAAGCUGCUCCAUUGUCCACAAUGUCUGGCCCUGAAUGCUGCGAGAACCCACCUACACUUUCCUCCGGCGGUGAAUCCGGCGAUGUCCUGCAGAUCGCCUCUCUCAAUUCUUACGUUACCGGGAACACUGAUUCGAAGAUCGCCGUUGUUCUGAUUUCCGAUGUUUAUGGUACGCAACAUCACUCCACUCUUUAGUGUUCUUAUUUACCAACUCUAACUACUGUAAUCAAUGAUAAGAUUUAUAUCUGGAUGUUCACUAGUCACUCUUGCAAAAAUUAUGUUUUAAUCCAUAAAUAAUUUACCUUUCAAGAAGCUAAUUCAUUAAAACACCUGUAUUUUAUAACUUUGAAGCCUAUCUUUUAAAAUCACUAACCCUUUUUUGGUUUGCAAGUCAACCAUAGUUUGUAUGAUCAUCUUAUUGCUCUAAUUUGUUUGCGUCUGGUAUCUUUUGUGCAGGUUAUGGAGCUCCAAAAUUGAGGUAUGGCUUGUCGCAAGAACAUCCCCUUAUAUUAAAAUUUUUCUUUUCUAUGGAUUAAUUUAUUGAUUUGAUCAUUAGUUCCUUCUGGAAAAUAAGAUUACGAUGUUUAAUUUUAAUUUUACAGGAAACUUGCAGACAAAAUUGCCUCUUCUGGGUAUUAUGUAGUUGUCCCUGACUUCUUCCAUGGAGACCCCUUGAUUCCUGAUUCGCCGAUUCAAGAUUGGCUAAAGAAUCAUGGACCGGUUGGUUUUCUGUCUAACACACACCUCAUUAUCAGUUAAAUUUUAUUGUUUUCCAUUUCCAAAUGUUUCAAACUUCAAAUUAUAUAAAUUAGCAAGUUCUGUAAGAAGUGAUAUCUACCUCGCACUUAAAAGAAAACACCAUGAAUAAAUUAAUGGUAUAGUUUCAAUUCUAGAUUUCCAAUGUCAAAUAACAUUCCUUAUUUAUACCUUUUUUCGUCUUUUCUUUUUGUAGGUGGAAGCAGUAGCAUUUGCAAAAUCGGUUAUUCAGGCUCUGAAAGAGAAGGGUAUCUCUAAAAUUGGGGCUGCAGGAUUCUGUUGGGGUGGUAAGAUUAGCUUCACAUCAACUUUGUUAAUACAUGCCAAACACAGUACAAGACUGUCAUGUUCUGUCUUGUCCUGUGUAACAAAUCGGGCUUGGUUGACUCAGUUGACUCAAUUGUUUUUUUUUUAGCCAAGGUGGUUGUUGAGUUAGCAAAAGAGGCUGAAAUACAAGUUGCUGCUCUCUUGCAUCCUUCAUUUCUCACUUUAGAUGAUAUCAAGGGUAUGUUUCAUUCAACAACAUUUAUCAUUUUCCCUCAUUUCUAGAAACCUGUACAUGUUUAAAUACUUCAAACCUAAAUCAAAAGGUUAAUUUUCUGUAAUUUCUGAGCUUUUUUGAAUUUUUUUCUUGAUGAUAUGAUGGUUUUUAGGGGUUAAGGUUCCUAUUGCAAUACUGGGUGCUGAGAUUGACAGAAUGUCUCCACCAGAACUUGUCAAAGAAUUUGAGCUUGCUUUAGAAGCAAAACCAGAGGUAACUUCUUCGAGCUUUUGUAAAGUGUACAUUUUUUUUUCCACCUUUAACUUUACUUUGUAAAGUCUACAACUUUUCUUACACCUUUAAUAAUGUAAAAGAAAAUAGGUAUGCACUCUAAAAUUUAACCAAUUUUAGUAAAGGUCGUCUAAAUACAAAUCAAUGGUGUAAUUGGGUAGAAUAUUCCAAAUUAAUGUCCUUAUAAGAAAAAAAAAAAAUAGAGAAAGUACAAUGUCAUAAUUGUGUAGAUUUUUAAAAAGUAUAAUGUCAUAAUAAGCAACAAAAUUGAAUGUACAAUGUUCUAAUAGAAAGAAAUAUAAGUAGGAUGCGAGUCUGUAUCCCACUUUUUUGUGUGGGACGAAAAAUUUCGAUUUUUUUCCAUUACCAUCAGACUGUUUCAGUCCAAUGCAUGUCAAACACAGUUAUGUUCUGUCAUGGAUCCAACAUAUGAACAACAGGCAAGGAAGGAUAUAUAAAUUUAUGUUGGUCUGCAGAUUGAUCAUUUUGUGAAGAUAUAUAAUGGGGUUUCGCACGGUUGGACUGUCCGAUGGAAAGAUGAUGAUGAAAUCGCGGUGAAGUGUGCAAAAGAGGCGCAUGAGGAUCUUGUGGCUUGGUUUGGCAAGUGUCUUGUAUAAAACCAGUUAACCCUGUAAAACAUAAUAAUGUAAAACAAAGAGAGAUGGAGAUGAUAGAGAACACUCCAUUUACAAAUAAAUAAAGUGUUGUGAAGACUUUGUAGUAAGUUUUUAAUACAAAGUUAAAAUUGUGAUUUGGAUCGUGAUGUUGUUCUUUGAUGAAUUUAGUUUUAUGUUAAUCGUAAGGUUGUUGAAUAAGUGUUGAUUGAGAGAGGAUUGGUCCGUAAGGUUGUUCAUGGGUAAGAUGGGAUGGUUCUAUAAUGGAUAAGUUUUUUAUGACUAAAUUCGAUUAUUAGGGUGAGGUUAUUUAUGUUUUUUGCACAUUUGAGAGAUUGAAAACAAGUACAUCCAGUCUUCAGUCUUUUUAUGCUUAUGUGGACCGGUCUGAACCAAAAUGCUCGAUGUUAGUCCCAGAUCAAGAAUAAAACACUAAAAACUGAAUAUUGGUUAAAAUCUAUUAUAAUAAAUGAAAGUUUUUUUGCCACUUGUCAUUCAUUCAAUUUGCGAAAUGUCAUUUUGUGGUUAUUUUAAAUUAAUUUUUUCCACAUGUUAUUUUAUAAGUUUUUCUAAUUUAUUAAAUUCUAUAUAAUAUUUUAAUGUACUAAUUGCAAUAAAUAUGAUAAUAAAUGAAUAUAAAUUUCAUUAAUCAACUUACCUUUUAAUUUCAAAAUUCUAAAAAUUAAGGCUUAUUAAUUUCUUUUGUUUAUUUAUUUAAUUUUUUUUUAAAAUUUAAAAGAUAAAAAACAUUUUCAUUAUAAUAAUUUAUUAUUUUUCUUAUUCUCUUAUAAAUUAAAAGUUCUUAAAUAUUUUGACCUUUAUAUUUAACUUUUUGUUUUUUUUUUUAAUUAACCUAUAUAAUACAUGAGUCUCACAACUAGUAUUUAUUAAUUACGAUUUCUAAACAAAGAGAAUAAAUUGUAAAAAAUCACAAUUUAUUAGCACAUUCUCUAAUUUCUCUAUGAUAGCUAAAACUUAUUGAUCUCACAAAACUCAUGCAUAAAAGUAUAUGAAAACCUAGAAUGAGUAUUAUAUAAAUAGUAAUCUAGAAUAGAUUUGAAAUACUCGGUGCAAACAUAGUACUUCAAUUCUUAUAUUGAGUGCAAAUGUCUUAUCUUUAUCUUCGCUUUGUACUUCCAAAUGACUUGAUCUUCAAUAUAUUCUGAUAACUAAGACUAAUAUAUUCGGAUAACUAAGACUGAGUUCAAGGUUGAUAAGAACUCCGCGUAUGUAAUUAAUAGUCUUAAAAUCAUUAAAUUAAAGGGUCCCAUCAUAACAAUCUUCACAAAUUUAAUGAUGUCAAAACCAACUAUAGAAAUUACAAAUAAAAACUACUCUAUACAUGUCUCUUACAAAAUCCAAGAUUUUUCUAUAUUUUUCAUUUUUCCUAAAUAAAUCAGUGAUAGAAAUAAAAAAUGCACCCGUUUCAACCAACCUUUGAAUAAUCUUGAAACUAUUCAACUUCGUCCAAAAUUUCCUUCUUGAUAAUUUUGGAUGUUUCAAUUUUCGCUCCUUUUUCACCAAUCUAGAAAGAUUAGCAUUUGAUAGCCUUUGCGAUCUCGGUCUAUUAUAUGUAUUCUUGACUAACACAUUUCCAUUUUUCCUCGACUUAGCAUUACAUAAACCACGAAUUCACUUGUUUUCUUCUACAAUCAUAACAAAAUACACAUGUUAUAUUUAGCUAAACUUUUGAGGAUGUUAAUAUUCUAUACAUGCAUAGAUCUAUCAUACACAAACAUAAUAGAAAUGGGUCGACUAGGAGAAAAAGAAGAAAAAUAUGAGAAAGAAGGUGACAUAUGAUGAGAUGCACCGAAAUCCAAGAUCCAUCAUGCUUGAAGUAGUAAACGGAUACAAACGUAAAUGAGACAUAAAUGCUUACAUGUAAUCAAUAUUCAAAGCAAGGGACUGUUUGAAUUCCUAAAAAACAUAAGGAUCCAAAGCAGAAGAUGGUGUGGUGGUAACAUGAACAUUUUGUAACAUCCCAAAAAUACAGUGUAAAUUUUUUAUUUUUAAAUCAUUAAUAAAACCAUAGUAAUCCAAACAUCAUAUAAAAAAACCAUAAAUCGUGUAUCUCAAAUUAUCAUAACAUCUGUCAAAAUAUAUCAGAGUAUAAACAUCCCAAGCUAACCAAAUGGUGUGUGCACUGCAAUCAUCCCGAGCUCUUUCCCUUGCUACCGAAAAUACCUGAAACCAAAACUAAAAACUGUAAGCACGAAGCUUGGUAGAGUCACACAUCUUGACUUUACUAUCUCCAAGAUCUUUCAGGUAGUUUGGGUAGCUUCACAUCCAAUGUCCCUUUAAUUGUCAAUAGAAACAUAUGGACUCUUCAGGAAUAGCACAUGGGACUAUCUCAAAAUUAGCCUUUCACUUUACCAUAUAGUCAAAUAGUUUGACCUUGACUGAUCCCUUUCCUUUGGGAAGAGAAACCUUUUAUGGACUACCAAUGUUGCCAUUAUCCAUGGAAAUUGGGGAUACAAAUCUCUAAACCAUGUUUGUUUGACUUGUGCUCUUAAGCAUAUCUACUUCAGCACAAAUCAACAUAUAUGUUAGAUUAAUUAGGGUCACGUCGUUGUUAGUCAUAUAGAGUUCUUAAUGAAAUGACUAUAUGACUCAGGAAGCAAGUGAAGAACCAAAUCAAUGGCUAGCUCCCUUGGGAAAACGACACCCAACAUUCCCAAUCUGUUAAUGUGUGACAUCACAUAGAAUUUCCAUCUAGGUGUUUGGAUGUCAACAGGGCUUGAAUAACCUUGAACUUUUCAAGUUGAAGAAAACGUGGGUUGGGGAGGAUCACUGGAGGGGGUGAAGGAAGAGUUGGAGAAACAUGAUUUCCAGUUCUACCAUUUGAAAAAGGGAACAUCCUUUCACCUUGAUCAACUUGUGGAAGAUCAUCUUCAGAAGGAAAACCAUUUCCAGAAGGACGAGAAAGACCAUUGUUGUCUGAAAUCGACAUUUAUAAAGGGAGAAAAGGAUUCGAGUUAGUUGAUUUAUUUAAUCCUUCAUUAUUAACACAAAAUUUAAAUUAAGGCUAGGAUCCAUAUUUUCGAUUCGAAUUCUGAAGAGGGAUUUCGUAAUCAAAUUCAAAUCUAUUUUAGGUAGGUAAAGUAUUUACCAAUUUCAACCUUAUGAAACUCCUAGAUCUUUGAGAUUCAUUGAACCAUUCAAUGGCAUGUUUAAUCUCGAUUAUGCUCUCACUUUUGUGACUGGGAUGCCGAGGAUCACAAACGAGAUUUGAAUAACCAUGCAACUUAGUUUGGUACUCUCGAUGUCAUUUAUCAUCUAAUUAAUGUGCCGUUUAACCACACACACUCCAUUAAUCAAUAAUAAUUUACGAGACACCCAUUGCCAACAAUAUUAGUUCAUAUUAGUGUGUCGGUUAACCACAUACGCUCCACUAAUGACAAAUAAGAUGCAAUGUGCAAUUUCAUGGGUUAACAUCAAAUUCACAUUUUUCCUAAAGUAACUAAGAAUGGGAUUUUAGAAAAUCAUUUAGUUACUUUAUAAUUCAUUAUACUUUUAAUGAGAGUUUAUAGUUCUAUCAAACCUGUUCAGCUAACGACCCCUCACUAGUCAAGAGACCGGUGGGUAAGAGUAGAUACCCAAUGACGUUCAUUUUAUAGGUCACUUCCUUAAACUCCUCUUAUCGACUAGCUUCGUGAAUGAGACCUACUAACGGUAAGAGUGACUUUUCUUAUACACAUAUAUAUAAAUUAAACUCUUAAUCUUACAUAUAGUAUAUGGUGUAUUCUAAACAUUUUAAAAUACUAAGGGUUUAAUCUUAUAAUAAAUUAAACUUUUAAUUUAAUUAAAUUUAAACCAUAUAUGGAUUUAUAAAAUCAAUAAGGAUAUAUUUUAGGGUUUCUCAUUUUAAAUUCCAAAAUUAAACCGUUUAAUUUUAAAUUUUAAACAACCCAAAAAUAUUAUUUAAUCCAAUUAAUAAUUAUCUAACAACCAAUAUCCAUAAGGAUAAUUAUAGUCAAAUAAAUCAUCAUUAUCUAAUUCAUAGUUAUCUCCUAACAUUUAGGGUUUUUAUUGAAUUAUCUUAUAUUACCAAAAACAGAUUAUGGUAGAACAAACCAAAGACAAUUACCAAAUAUAAACCUAGUAAAUCAAGUUAGAAAAGAAAAUCCGAAAACAUAUCUGACGCACCAAGUCAACGAGUUGGAGGACCAAACUCGACAAGUUCUAAGAGCAACUCGAGUUCAAUGAACAGAAUGUCGAUUAUGUUCCCUUCUCCUUUGAGGAAUUCACAAUUGCAUCAUAUUCAAUAGAAAACUAAUCCUAGUCUCUAAUAUUACUGAUGAGUUUUGAGCAAAACAUAUAAUCCUAUGUGUGCAUGCAACCCUAAUUGUUUUGGAUAUAGGUUUACUCUUAUUAAACAUGUAAACUUGAACAACAAAGAAGAAACCUUAGGUUCUAUGUAUUAUAAUCAAAAUUCACAUAAUAAAGGGUUAUAAUACAUAUCUUUAAGAUUUUUAUUGUAAACAAUCUUGAAUCCUUUCUUGAAAGACCUUUGGUAGCAACCGCGCACAAGUGUCGCACCCCUAAUGGCUCACAAUCAAACUCAAGCAACCAAGGAUUACUAUAGAGAGAGAGAGAGAAGGGAAGAAGAAUUUCGGCUCUAAGCCUUUUCUAAGAGUGUAUAGCCAAAAUUCCUUAUUUGGUAGGGUUUAUAUAGGUGUUAGGAAGGUAUUGGAUUAGUCAGGUAUAUCCAAGAUAAACCUAAUCCCUUCACUUCCUCCUUAAGGCAUCCAAGGCACCCUUAGAGCCCAAGGAAACCCUAGGAGCAUCUAAAUUUCGUUUCCCUUACCAUAGGGAGGUUUUAAAAUUGCCCAAUACUCAACUAUUGAACAUUGUAACGUUUAGUCCCUGCAGUUUCAAUUAAUUCUUUUAAUCCCAAAAUUAAUUCCAAAUUAAUUUCUAAUUAAAUAUUAAUUAAACAUUAUGAUUUCUAAUUAAUAUAUUAUUUCCAUAAUACAUUAAUAAAUCAUUUAUUUUGAUUUCUAAUUAAUUUAUUAACCAAGUAAUAAAUUAAUAAAUUAUUCUUUUUUCUCUAAUAUUUAUUCUAUUCAAUUGUUAGAUUUGAUGGCAACCCAAAAGGACAUUGCUACUAUCAAUUCAACUACAUACCAAUUAUAGUUAUGAGCUUAGACAGCUAAUCCAAUAAGAUGAACAUGGAAGAAUCUCGAUCGAGAUGAGGUCAGGUGUUUAGAUAUGAAAUUUGACCAUAGUACCCUCAAAUACUUUGCCCUAGGGAAGAAAAGCAUAAAAAGUUCAAACUAAUUGCGAAAAUGCCACCGUGCAUUUAAUUAAAAAAAAAAAACUAAAAUCUAAAUUUAUAACAGCCACAUUUUUUGAGAUUAAUGGUUCGAAUUUGUCCUUAUAGUCCUCACCAAAUUUUGAGUCUUCACCUGAUCUUAGUUUUAUAAAAUUUAAGAGUUGACUUGGUGAAUUUAAUUUAUAACCACUAAUUAGCCGUUUUAAAAAAUAAUGAUAAAUUAGUUAAAUUUACAAAAAUAAAAAGAAAACCAUGAAAAAGAAAAAAUUAACCAUUGAAGAUCCACUUAGUUUGAAGUUAAAAUGUAACACCGAAAUUUUCAAAACAAAAUUUUCAUUUAAAAUUACUUAUCUCUUUAAUACUUUUCAUAGAAAUCCCAUUUUAUUUAAAUUACAAUACAUGACUCUUUUGUUUAAUCAAUUGAUAAAACAAAAUCCUCAAACAAGCGCUUCCUCUGGUGUGUACAAUUGAGCCGGUGCCGUCCCGUGAACCUGAGAAACCUGAAACACAUAACACAAAACACUGUAAGCACGAAGCUUAGUGAGUUCCCCAAAAUACCACAUACAACACAUACGCCAAUCAAGGCUACAAUACGACCCUCCGGUCGGUGUGUCUCAGCGGAACCCUCCAGUUCCGUAUCGUUGGACCCUACGGUCCGGUCUGUAUCGUUGGACCCUCCGGUCCGGUCUAUAUCGUUGGACCCUCCGGUCCGGUCUAUAAACUUCGCAUAGCAUAAAUCACAAAGACAUAAUGCAUAGCAUUUCACAUAUAACAUAAUACUCAAUGUGAGCACAUAAGACCCUCUGGUCACACAUAACUACCACUCAAGGUAACGUAUAAUGAGAAGACUCACCUGCUACUGCCGACUGAAGAACAAUCCACGUUGCUCCGACCAUCAUCAUGAAUUCCACCACUGAAUCACCGAAACCACUAAUUACCAAUAACAACCAAAUUACUCCUGGAAGUCAACUGGUCAACUCUUGGUCAAAGUCAAAGUCAACCCUCCUGGUUAACCCUGCUUGCCGAGUCAACCCGUCGACUCGUCGAGUCCCCAUGCUUAGAAUUUCCCCAAUCCGCGACUCAACUCGCCGAGUCACCCCGAGACUCGCCGAGUCCAACAACUCUGAGUCCACUCGCACACAACUCACCGAGUCAUCCCUUGACUCACCGAUUCUCGACUCAACCAGAAAAUAUUGGGACUCUUCGACAAGACUCGCCGAGUCCAAGNNNNNNNNNNNNNNNNNNNNNNNNNNNNNNNNNNNNNNNNNNNNNNNNNNNNNNNNNNNNNNNNNNNNNNNNNNNNNNNNNNNNNNNNNNNNNNNNNNNNNNNNNNNNNNNNNNNNNNNNNNNNNNNNNNNNNNNNNNNNNNNNNNNNNNNNNNNNNNNNNNNNNNNNNNNNNNNNNNNNNNNNNNNNNNNNNNNNNNNNNNNNNNNNNNNNNNNNNNNNNNNNNNNNNNNNNNNNNNNNNNNNNNNNNNNNNNNNNNNNNNNNNNNNNNNNNNNNNNNNNNNNNNNNNNNNNNNNNNNNNNNNNNNNNNNNNNNNNNNNNNNNNNNNNNNNNNNNNNNNNNNNNNNNNNNNNNNNNNNNNNNNNNNNNNNNNNNNNNNNNNNNNNNNNNNNNNNNNNNNNNNNNNNNNNNNNNNNNNNNNNNNNNNNNNNNNNNNNNNNNNNNNNNNNNNNNNNNNNNNNNNNNNNNNNNNNNNNNNNNNNNNNNNNNNNNNNNNNNNNNNNNNNNNNNNNNNNNNNNNNNNNNNNNNNNNNNNNNNNNNNNNNNNNNNNNNNNNNNNNNNNNNNNNNNNNNNNNNNNNNNNNNNNNNNNNNNNNNNNNNNNNNNNNNNNNNNNNNNNNNNNNNNNNNNNNNNNNNNNNNNNNNNNNNNNNNNNNNNNNNNNNNNNNNNNNNNNNNNNNNNNNNNNNNNNNNNNNNNNNNNNNNNNNNNNNNNNNNNNNNNNNNNNNNNNNNNNNNNNNNNNNNNNNNNNNNNNNNNNNNNNNNNNNNNNNNNNNNNNNNNNNNNNNNNNNNNNNNNNNNNNNNNNNNNNNNNNNNNNNNNNNNNNNNNNNNNNNNNNNNNNNNNNNNNNNNNNNNNNNNNNNNNNNNNNNNNNNNNNNNNNNNNNNNNNNNNNNNNNNNUAUAUAUAUAUAUAUAUAUAUAUAUAUAUAUAUAUAUAUAUACACACACACACACACACAAAGAGGUAGGUUCCAUUGAGAUUAAAAAUAAAAUAAAGAUCUUGAGAUUCAAUCUCAACCAUAUAUUUCACAUUUGUCGCUGUAACCUCCGUCAUACCGACACGAAAUGCCUGUUAUAAUUAUAAAUGAUUAUAUAGCAUCACUCGUUCCUUUUUUCUCCACCACUAUCCCCACCACCACAACCGCCAACGACACCACCACUACCACCACCUCUAACACCAGCUAACCCUACCACUCACCUCCGUCACUUAUACCACCGCUACCUUUGUCACCACCACCUCUUCUGGCACUGAAUGACAUAUAUGUAUAAUCAUUUAUGAUUAGACAUAUACGUAUAAACAUGCAUAAUCAUAUAAAUUAUACCUCUCUGCUAUAUAAGCAUUUAUGAUUAGGCAUGCUCUGUUGUUGUCGGUACGCUGGAGCGUUAAAGCGGCAAAAGUACGACUUUUUUGGAUUAGUGGUCCUUUUGAGGUAGUUUCGUUGCGUUUUUGGUCCCUCGGUAAACUUAAAUGACUGUAAUGCCCUUGGGGUAUUUAUUUUUCAUUUUUCUUUCAUUAUUUUAAAAUCUAAUUGUUUUUUAUUUAUUUUAAUAAUUAAAAAAAGUGGGGCCACCUCUCUCUAUCUCUCUCUCUCUGUCUCUCUCUCUCGUGAAAAAGAAAUUCACCCCUAACUCACUUCUUCAUCUUCUCCAAUUCAUAUCAUAUCUGAUGAACACAGAUACACACUUCUAAAUUAUAUGAACACGUAGAGUUUUCAGAUUCUAUUUCUCAUACAAACACACUUCUAUAUUUUUAUAUGAAGAUGGUCACAGAUAUGGAAGGAGGUGUGAUAAUGACUACAUGGGAACAUCGGAAGUCAGAGAUAGCUACAAGACCCGUCAUCUCCAUUCACUCUGAUUCAGCGGUAACCCUAAUAUGAUCUUCAUAGCAACGACGUCGAAACCUUAAUCGGAGUUAGGGUGUGUUGUGGCUCCGGCGACCUCAUGCUUCAUCUCUAUCCUUCCGCGAUUGAUCCAAUCUUACUGCUUUUUACCUAUUUCUCAACGUAUAUACAUACAGAUAAAUGUAUAUACUUCUAGUUUAAUUUUCAUCUUCAUCUAUUUCUGGUUUAAUUUUCAUAUUUCUCACGUUCUCUUUUGUUCUCUCAACAGGUAAUGCUCACUGGCAUUUGUUAGAAUCAAAUUGGGUUUGGAUCUAUUAAUCUAAUUAAAAAGGGAUUGGAAGUGGGUUGAUUUGGGAAUCGAGGUUUGUGUUGAUUGGGAUAUUGUUUCCUCAAAAUCUAUUAAAACGGUAAUGGGUUNGAGAGAGAGAGAGAGAGAGAGAGAGAGAGAGAGAGAGAGAGAGAGAGAAGGGAGAAAUUGAUUUUGGAGACGGUAAUCUAACCGGGAAUAGUAGCAACAGACGAUAAUCUGUUAAGGUGCUGGAAUUGAUUUUGGAGAAGGAGGAGGGUCACUAGAGGGAAGCGAGAGGGACUUCUUGAUAGUCACUGAAAUGGGUCUUCUUCUCCUCGAUCUAGUGUGUGUAAGUGUGUUCCUAGUGAAAGUGGGUGAAGAACUUUAAGGUUUUUUGUGGGUUAAUCCAAGUUGUUGGAAUCUGAUGUUGAAAUGGAUUAUGAAUGAUGUUUAGAUCGCUGGUGGGUUUGCACAGGAGAGAGAGAGAGAGAGAGAGAGAGAUGGGUCCAAUUUAAUUAUUUAAUUUCUUUUUCAUUUAAAUUAAAUAGAAAAAAACAUAAAAUAUAAAUACCCCAAGGGCAUUACAGUCAUUUCAGUUUACCGAGGGACCAAAAACACAACGAAACUACCUCAAAAGGACCACAGAUCCAAAAAAGUUGUGGUUUAAACUAAAACCCCAAAAAAAUACAUGCCAUAUAGGGCGUGUUUGGCACGGAGCUUUUGGAAGCGUUUGAGAGCUUCUAGCUUUUAGCUUUUGACAAAACGCUCUAGUUUAAACAAAAAGCUUUGUUUGGCAGUACAAGCGUUUAGCUUUUAGUUUUAACAAAACGCUCCGAUUCUAAAAGCUACUUCAUGUAGCUUUUAACAAAACGCUCCGGAGCUUUUGAAAUCAAUUUCCAUAAUUACCCUUAAAAAUAUAUUUAUAUAUUUUUUUAUUUUUAAUCAAUUGUCCUUUUAUGUAAUUUUAUAUAUUUCAAAAGCUUCCAGCUACUUUUGCCAAACAUUCAUAUAACAAGUAAAAGCUACAGCUUCCCGCUACCAGCUACUAGCUACCCGCUACCCACUUCCAGCUAACAGCUACUUUUGUCAAACACGCCCAUAAACUUUUUUGAAUUUUAUCUUUUUUUUUUAGUUCGACAGUACGAUACGAGGAGUCCAUUUUAUUAUUAUUUUUUUUCUUAAUACUUUUCCUACAAACUGCAAUUAACCAACCCUAUCCAUUUGCCAACAAGGCAACAACACCUGUUGAGUUACAAGAGCACGCAUUCCACAACCUACUCCAUUGCCCACACUCCACAAUGUCUGGCCCAGAAUGCUGCGAGAACCCACCUACACUCUCCUCCGGCGGUGAAUCCGGUGACGUGCAGAUCGCCUCUCUUAAUUCUUAUGUUUCAGGGAACACUGAUUCAAAGAUCGCCGUUGUUCUAAUUUCCGAUAUAUUUGGUACUCAACUUCACUCCACUCUUAGUAUUCUUAUUCACCAAC
rnacentral:lncRNA from 1 species